rnacentral:rRNA from 1 species
AGGAUAAACGCUGGCGGCGUGCCUAACACAUGCAAGUCGAACGUCCUACGCAAGUAGGGAGUGGCGGACGGGUGAGUAACACGUGGGCAAUCUACCUUUCGGUGAGGAAUACCGGCGAGAAAUCGCCGACAAUACCGCAUACGCUUCGCAAGAAGCAAAGUCGCAAGACGCCGGAGGAGGAGCCUGCGCCCGAUUAGCUCGUUGGUGGAGUAAUGGUCUACCAAGGCGACGAUCGGUAGCUGGUCUGAGAGGAUGAUCAGCCACACUGGGAUUGAGAACGGCCCAGACUCCUACGGGGGGCAGCAGUGAGGAAUUUUCCGCAAUGGGCGAAAGCCUGACGGAGCAACGCCGCGUGAGUGAUGAAGACCUUAGGGUUGUAAAGCUCUGUCGGAGGGGAAGAACACAAUGACGGUACCCUCCAAGAAAGCCCCGGCUAACUACGUGCCAGCAGCCGC